rnacentral:rRNA from 1 species
GACGAACGCUGGCGGCGUGCUUAACACAUGCAAGUAGAACGAGUGGCGAACGGGUGAGUAAUACGAGGGUAAACUGCCCUCUUUUUGGACUAAGCAUUGGAAACGGGGUAUAAUACCGAAUAGAGGGGGAUGGGCUAGCGGCCUAUCAGCUUGUGUGUGGGGGGAUGGCCUACCAAGGCGGUGACGGGUAGACGGCCUGGGAGGGUGGUCAGGCACAGUGGAGAUGAGACACGUUCCAGACUCCUACGGGAGGAAGCAGUGGGGAAGAUUGGACAAUGUGCGAAAGCCUGAUGCAGCGACGCCGCUUGGGGGAUGAAGGCUUGCGGGUUGUAAACCUCUUUCGCUAUCGAACGGGUAGGUGGAGAAGAAGCGCGGGCUAACUACGUGCCAGCAGCCGCGGUAAUAC